CCUACGGGCGGCAGCAGUGAGGAAUAUUGGUCAAUGGACGAGAGUCUGAACCAGCCAAGUAGCGUGAAGGAUGACUGCCCUAUGGGUUGUAAACUUCUUUUAUAUGGGAAUAAAACGUUCCACGUGUGGGAUUUUGUAUGUACCAUAUGAAUAAGGAUCGGCUAACUCCGUGCCAGCAGCCGCGGUAAUACGGAGGAUCCGAGCGUUAUCCGGAUUUAUUGGGUUUAAAGGGAGCGUAGGUGGAUUGUUAAGUCAGUUGUGAAAGUUUGCGGCUCAACCGUAAAAUUGCAGUUGAAACUGGCAGUCUUGAGUACAGUAGAGGUAGGCGGAAUUCGUGGUGUAGCGGUGAAAUGCUUAGAUAUCACGAAGAACUCCGAUUGCGAAGGCAGUUCACUGGACUGCAACUGACACUGAGGCUCGAAAGUGUGGGUAUCAAACAGGAUUAGAUACCCGUGUAGUC
rnacentral:rRNA from 1 species